GGUUGCGGCCGUCCUAUACAUGCAGUCGAACGCACAGCGAAGGUGCUUGCACCUUUCAAGUGAGUGGCGAACGGGUGAGUAACACGUGGACAACCUGCCUCAAGGCUGGGGAUAACAUUUGGAAACAGAUGCUAAUACCGAAUGAAACUUAGUGUCGCAUGAUACGAAGUUAAAAGGCGCUUUGGCGUCACCUAGAGAUGGAUCCGCGGUGCAUUAGUUAGUUGGUGGGGUAAAGGCCUACCAAGACAAUGAUGCAUAGCCGAGUUGAGAGACUGAUCGGCCACAUUGGGACUGAGACACGGCCCAAACUCCUACGGGAGGCUGCAGUAGGGAAUCUUCCACAAUGGGCGAAAGCCUGAUGGAGCAACGCCGCGUGUGUGAUGAAGGCUUUCGGGUCGUAAAGCACUGUUGUAUGGGAAGAACAGCUAGAAUAGGGAAUGAUUUUAGUUUGACGGUACCAUACCAGAAAGGGACGGCUAAAUACGUGCCAGCAGCCGCGGUAAUACGUAUGUCCCGAGCGUUAUCCGGAUUUAUUGGGCGUAAAGCGAGCGCAGACGGUUGAUUAAGUCUGAUGUGAAAGCCCGGAGCUCAACUCCGGAAUGGCAUUGGAAACUGGUUAACUUGAGUGCAGUAGAGGUAAGUGGAACUCCAUGUGUAGCGGUGGAAUGCGUAGAUAUAUGGAAGAACACCAGUGGCGAAGGCGGCUUACUGGACUGUAACUGACGUUGAGGCUCGAAAGUGUGGGUAGCAACAGGAUUAGAUACCCUGGUAGUCCACACCGUAAACGAUGAACACUAGUGUUAGGAGGUUUCCGCCUCUUAGUGCCGAAGAACACCAGUGGCGAAAGGCGGGCUUACUGGACUGUAACUGACGUUGAGGCUCGAAAGUGUGGGUAGCAAACAGGAUUAGAUACCUGGUAGUCCACACCGUAAACGAUGAACACUAGGUGUUAGGAGGUUUCCGCCUCUUAGUGCCGAAGCUAACGCAUUAAGUGUUCCGCCUGGGGAGUACGACCGCAAGGUUGAAACUCAAAGGAAUUGACGGGGACCCGCACAAGCGGUGGAGCAUGUGGUUUAAUUCGAAGCAACGCGAAGAACCUUACCAGGUCUUGACAUCCUUUGAAGCUUUUAGAGAUAGAAGUGUUCUCUUCGGAGACAAAGUGACAGGUGGUGCAUGGUCGUCGUCAGCUCGUGUCGUGAGAUGUUGGGUUAAGUCCCGCAACGAGCGCAACCCUUAUUGUUAGUUGCCAGCAUUCAGAUGGGCACUCUAGCGAGACUGCCGGUGACAAACCGGAGGAAGGCGGGGACGACGUCAGAUCAUCAUGCCCCUUAUGACCUGGGCUACACACGUGCUACAAUGGCGUAUACAACGAGUUGCCAACCCGCGAGGGUGAGCUAAUCUCUUAAAGUACGUCUCAGUUCGGAUUGUAGUCUGCAACUCGACUACAUGAAGUCGGAAUCGCUAGUAAUCGCGGAUCAGCACGCCGCGGUGAAUACGUUCCCGGGUCUUGUACACACCGCCCGUCACACCAUGGGAGUUUGUAAUGCCCAAAGCCGGUGGCCUAACCUUUUAGGAAGGAGCCGUCUAAGGCAGGACAGAUGACUGGGGUGAAGUCGAAUCAAAUAUUAACG
rnacentral:rRNA from 1 species